AUACGGAGGGUGCAAGCGUUAAUCGGAAUUACUGGGCGUAAAGCGUACGUAGGCGGUCCGUUAAGUUAGAUGUGGAAGCCCCGGGCUUAACCUGGGAACUGCAUUUAAAACUGGCGAACUAGAGUUGAGUAGAGGGGAGUGGAAUUUCAGGUGUAGCGGUGAAAUGCGUAGAGAUCUGAAGGAACACCAGUGGCAAAGGCGACUCCCUGGACUCGAACUGACGCUGAGGUACGAAAGCGUGGGUAGCAAACGGGAUUAGAUACCCUAGUAGUCC
rnacentral:rRNA from 1 species